CCUUAUGGAUGAACAGUGAAAGUGGUUUCUUUAGAUGGAAUCUACUCCUGGUGAAGAUGCUAUGAA
rnacentral:pre_miRNA from 1 species